rnacentral:ncRNA from 1 species
CGAGUCCCUGGAAUGGGUUCGCCCCGAGAUAGGGAUGGUGGCUCCGUAGAGCAGUGCGGUUCUUGCGCUGUCCGGUGCGCUCGCGUCGGCCCUUGAAAAUCCGAGUGAGGGAGUGUGAUUUUCGUGCCGGACCGUACCCACAUCCGCAGCAGGUCUCCAAGGUGAACAGCCUCUAGUCGAUGGACCAAUGUAGGUAAGGGAAGUCGGCAAAACGGAUCCGUAACCUUGGGAUAAGGAUUGGCUCUGAGGACUGAGCCGGUCGGGCUGGGGACCUGAAGCAGGAACGGCACUGCACCGGGACUGGGCGGGGCUCGCCGUUCACGCGGCGCGGCCAAGCCCGGACCAGCGUCGGGACCUUCCUGUGGAAAGCCUCAGCUGCGCGGCGUCUGAGGGCUUCGUGCCCAAAGUGCUAUGCUUCGGCCGGCAAAAAACAGUCAACUCAGAACUGGCACGGACCGGGGGAAUCCGACUGUCUAAUUAAAACAAAGCAUUGCGAUGGCCGCUGGUCGGUGUUGACGCAAUGUGAUUUCUGCCCAGUGCUCUGAAUGUCAACGUGAAGAGAUUCAUCAAAGCGCGGGUAAACGGCGGGAGUAACUAUGACUGAUUGAUGCCACAGUGAUCACCUGUGGGUAUCCGCUCCUCAAGGCCCACGAGAGUAAAGUGCGAAAGUACGACGUCCCCCAGGUCACCUCGAUCUGUAAGGGAAAGAAUACCGAGCACCCUCUCGU